UAAGCAGCUGUUUUUCAAUUUAUACUUUGAAGUCAGACUUUUGUACAUCAUUGAGCACCCUCUUGGACUUCCUGUAGACUCUCACCAGUUAUACUACACCCUUCUUGAAAAGCAGUACAUCAUCUGGAGGGUUCAACAGGGUCAGUUGAUGACUGGAGUGAACUGUCCCAUCUUUGAAAACUGCUUGUAACUGUGGAAAAGAGAUUAACACAUAUCUUUCUCAGUGACAACUAUUGAACUGGAAGUAUUAUUUUCACAUAUCCUGCAUAUCAGAAAUGG